rnacentral:snRNA from 1 species
AGAUAUGAAGAUGGUCUAGUUACACCUGCCACCCUACCCAGCACCCAGGAUUCCAUUGAUCUGGCUAGCAAGGCUAGAGUCUUUUUUCUUCCUCAUUGCUCCUUGUGUAUUUCUCCUGAAGCUGAGCUAUGCUCAGUCAAAAGAGAAGGACUUCUUCCACAGAGAGGACCAUAUUUCACUCAAAGGUCUACGAGUAGCUGAACUCCUGUUAGACCAAGCAAGGUCCAUGAAUGCUCCAGGAAUGUUAGAAUUCCAUGCAGAUAUUGUCCCAAUAGGUCAAUUACCU